ensembl:lncRNA
AAAGGCGGGUCUCGGUCAGUCCGGGGCAGACGGGGGAGGGCAGGGGUGGCCGUGAUAUCGAUUGGGCUCUUCUUGGGUAGAUUCCAUUCUCUCUCCCUUUGGACUUUGGACAUGUGAGACGCACGAGCAGCAAAGACGUCUCCCCGUCCUCCCUGCAGUACCAGAACGGCUCAUCAGAGUACCCGAGCUCCCCACGGACGCCUAAGAAGAGUCCGAGCCUCAGACCAUGUCACGGGAAGCCAGCUCUGAAGCCCCGCCCUCAGCCCUCCCCUCCAAUCAAAUCGCCCACCUCUCAGAAACCUCAAGUGCCCCCUAAACCGGCGCACCUUCUUGCUCUCGGGCAAGACAAGAAACCCAAGAGGAUCCCACCGGCUCCAUCCAGACCUCUGCCCGCUCCACCUCCUCCUCCCAAACCCAAGCUCACCCCGACCCC